CUCGGUAAAUAACUAUUUAUUGAUUAAAUUUGGCUGUGUGGGUAGCUAAAUAGUCAUAAAUAUUAAAAGUUCUAUACAACAGUUAUUAGUUUAAUAUGAAUGCCAUUUAUAAUACCUACUAAACUUGUGUGCUAGUUUAAACUCCUGACUUUAUUCAUUAGAAUUCUAACUUAGAACUCACUCCAAAUCUGGCCAACCGGAUUAUUCGCGUGAAUAGCAACUCUACAAAAAUUAUAAAUUCAAAUUAAUCUGUUUAACCAAAACCAUAAUGCACUGGCAAGACACUCAGGUCCAACACUGCGUAUGAGCAAUUUCUCGUUUACCGCCUACUUCUAAAGAUAUUCAGUUACCUUAUAUAUGUAUGUAUAUGUAAGUAGAUUUUACCACAACAAUACCAACAACAAUGGCCUAUUAUCUAAAGCUCACAGCAAAUUAUGUAUGCGAGUAUUCAACGUGGCUGGAUAUUGCGCGCGUGUGUGUGUAUGUGCUUCGCCACUGAAUUUGAUAUUGCCUUUUUUUCUUUUUGUCCUGCAACGAAUACUUGGCAAUUAUGCGCACAAUAUUUCGCUAAAUUUACCAUUAUAAAUAUGGCGUAGGUGGAGCUGAGGAGGCUUAGAAAAUCUGAGUGUCGGUUUCCUGGUUUCUGGUGAAACAAAAAGCACACGAAGUAGAGAGGUGCUUAAUGUGCAAAACAUUAAAGAAAUCUGAAUGGUGGAUUAUAUUGUAAAAUACUUGGUGUUUGAUUUCUAGAACUGUUGACGUUUUAUUUAUUUAUAAAUAUAUAUAUAUAUAUUUGGCGCGUUUAAACCUACGUUCUCUCUGUGAAUUCCGAAUGGUAGUCACACACCAACGCGUUUGGUUACGGCUACUUACUUAUUUAAG